GUGCUCGCUUUAGCAGCACAUAUACUAAAAUUGGAAUGUUAUAGAGAGGACUAGCAUGGCUCCUGAGCAAGGAUGACAUGAAAAUUCAUGAAGCAUUCCAUAUUUGG
rnacentral:snRNA from 1 species